rnacentral:rRNA from 1 species
CCCUUAGAUGUUCUGGGCGGCCCGCGCACUACAAUGGCGUGUGCAGUGAGUGCCGAAGUAGAGUUUUCCGAGGUAUUCUUGCAAUGCUCGUUUUGAUGGGGAUAGACCCUUGCAACUGUUGGUUUUGAACGAGGAAUUCCUUGUAAGCAUGGUUUAUCAUCCGACGCUGAAUGCGUCCCUGCCCUUUGUACACACCGCCCGUCGCUCCUACCGAUGAGUCGUCCGGUGAAGUUCGUAGACCUCGUGAUCGCGGAUCACUGGGGGAAGCAAAAUGAACCUCGCGGUUUAGAGGAAGGAGAAGUCGUAACA